UGAGGAAUAUUGGUCAAUGGGGGCAACCCUGAACCAGCCAAGUCGCGUGAAGGAUGAAGGUCUUAUGGAUUGUAAACUUCUUUUACACGGGAAUAAAGUGGGGGACGUGUCCCCCUUUGCAUGUACCGUGUGAAUAAGGAUAGGCUAACUCCGUGCCAGCAGCCGCGGUAAUACGGAGGAUCCGAGCGUUAUCCGGAUUUAUUGGGUUUAAAGGGUGCGCAGGCGGGAUGUUAAGUCGGCGGUGAAAUUUUGCAGCUCAACUGUAAAAGUGCCUUCGAUACUGGCCUCCUUGAGUGUGGAUGAAGUAGGCGGAAUUUGUGGUGUAGCGGUGAAAUGCUUAGAUAUCACGAGGAACUCCCAUUGCGCAGGCAGCUUACUAAGCCACAACUGACGCUCAUGCACGAAGGCGUGGGGA
rnacentral:rRNA from 1 species